UACGGAGGGUGCGAGCGUUGUCCGGAAUCACUGGGCGUAAAGGGCGCGUAGGCGGCGCGGGAAGUCAUCGGUGAAAGUUCAGGGCUCAACUCUGAAUCGGCCGGUGAUACUCUCGUGCUCGAGCACUGUAGGGGCAGGUGGAAUUCCGGGUGUAGCGGUGGAAUGCGUAGAGAUCCGGAAGAACACCGGUGGCGAAGGCGGCCUGCUGGGCAGUAGCUGACGCUGAUGCGCGACAGCGUGGGGAGCAAACAGG
rnacentral:rRNA from 1 species